CCUACGGGCGGCAGCAGUAGGGAAUAUUGGUCAAUGGGCGAGAGCCUGAACCAGCCAUGCCGCGUGCAGGAAGACGGCCUUCUGGGUUGUAAACUGCUUUUAUCAGGGAACAAAAAGCCUCUGCGGAGGAAAUUGCGUGUACCUGAAGAAUAAGCACCGGCUAACUCCGUGCCAGCAGCCGCGGUAAUACGGAGGGUGCAAGCGUUGUCCGGAUUUAUUGGGUUUAAAGGGUGCGUAGGUGGUCAAUUAAGUCAGUGGUGAAAGCCAACAGCUCAACUGUUGAACUGCCAUUGAUACUGGUUGACUUGAGUAUAGAUGAGGUAGGCGGAAUUUAUGGUGUAGCGGUGAAAUGCAUAGAUACCAUAAAGAACACCGAUAGCGAAGGCAGCUUACUAAACUAUAACUGACACUGAGGCACGAAAGCGUGGGGAGCGAACAGG
rnacentral:rRNA from 1 species